GCUACUAAAAAAACACGAGCGAUACAGAGAAAGGGAAGGAGAGAAAAAAAAAAAAGCUUGCAAUACAGGGGAGAGACAGAGUUCAUGCGGCCGGCCAUCACCAUCCCUUUCCAGACUUAGACCACCGGAACCGGCACCGGUAACCUAAAGGUGCAUGCAGGAAUUGAGAUGCGGAGAUAGAGAGAACUACCACCGGUAUUUGGGAUACAUUUGGUUUGGAUUUUAAAAGAGAAGAGAGAAAUUACUGAAAGGAUGCGUUGUUAAGGCACAGGGGAGAAAGACAGACAUCUCAGGGCCGGUACUACCGUCGGCCUCCAACCACAAGGAAACUUUGUUUCUUCUGCCGUCGUACCGCCAGAGCUAUUAUUGGGUGGAAAGGCCAAGCCUUUGAGGCAACCCAAAGUCUAAGAAGAAUGGGUACGGUUAGGUCUUUUUUUCCCUUUAUUGAAAUCUCUUGCAAUUUGUGUUUCAAAGUUUGUAGUUUUAAUGGAUUGGUACUUUGGGUUUGAUUUUUUAUUGACUAUUUCUCAUUGCGUCAUGUGACUUUUUCUCAUUUCUCAUUUUUCCUUUUUCAGUCGUUUACUUAUUUAGUUUCCAAACAAUAGUGCCUGUUCAUUUUGCGGAUUGAACAGUUUCAGUAUAUAUGUUUCAAACCCACAUAACUUUUCAUCCCUAAAGAUGCUGCCUAAACUAACAACGCUUCAAUCAAAGCUAAAUAACUUCCCUUAAGCGUUAAUACCAAUUCAUUGCUUCAAACACCAUUGUCUCUUAAAACCCAUAUUUCUUCUUCUUCGUUGCACAAUCUCAAUAAACACUUCAAAACCACAGAAAUCCCCACUCAAAUCUAGGAGACUGCCUCUCAUGGCAUUUACAAGGUCUGGGUGGGCAUUUACAAUGUUUGCUUAGAGGUCGUGUUCUCCUUUUUCUGCAAGCCAACAAAUGGGAUAUUGGAACAGAUCAAGAUUCAAGGACUAAGAUGGUUCCGUUGGAGAGAGGCUACGGUGAUUUUCUCUUAAUGGGAUUUCGCCAGAAUCAUCUGACUGUUGGGAAGACAAUACGGUUUAAUUUUUUUGUUUGUUGAGAAAUCUCCCCCUUUGCAGUUGGUUGGCCAAUCAUUAAUUCUAUUAAUGAUUGGAUUUAGAAUGUCAGGUUAGUUGGGUGAUAACAUGGUAACAUGGUUUUAAGUUGCAGAAGUAUCUAACAAUGAUUUAUCAUAUAUAUUUUGAAUUUGAGGUAAUGUAACUACUACAAAUGCUUAGUCACAUAAAAAUAUUAAUAGAGAAAGACAAAAGGAUAUGUAGUAUGUUAUUCAGCUGAAGAUAUGGCUGAUAGGGCUGAUAGCAAGGCAAGUUAUUCUUUUUGGAAAAUUUUUAAAUGAGCCAAAAGCAACUUCUAAAUUGAGUUCUAUUUGUAAUAUUGCACUUUAUGUAUAUACUAAUGUUUCUCCUGUAAUUAUGUGACUCAUAUGGAUUUGUUGUGCUAGGGAAAUCAUGGUCCAAUCCCAAUACUUUUUUGCAGUGCAUUUGCAUCAAGUAGAAUUCAUGUAUGUAAUUUCAGCCAAUCUGAUGUAGAUAUGGGAAUAAGGAAAAAGUAUACCACUAAUGCUUGGGAAGCCUAAGUAUACCACUGAUAAUAUAGCAGUCCUAUAGGUAAGUGCUCUGCUUAUAAUCCUUUUGGAGAUUACUUUAUGGGGAUAUUUAGAUUUUCUUAAGAAUUUUGAUUCAUGGGAACUGUUUUUGUUAAGGUGGUGAUGUCAUUGUUACAAAAAGAGGAAAAUGAAGUUUAUAAGAGGCCUAAAUCUGGGAUAAAGAAAGGGUAUUUCUUUCCCCAUUGUUAGGAAGUUUGAAUAUGCAAAAUAUUGAUAACCUAAUAAAUUUUUGUUAGUUAUGUUGUCACUUUUGUUCGUGUCAUCAACCUAAAAGGUAUAAGGUACUGUGAUUGAUAAAUUAAAGUGCUUCUUAAGAACUUUUUAUACAUUUAUUUUUAUCCUACUUAGUUUCUGAAAAUAUUUUUUUCAUCUAUUCUUUGUUUGCCAAUAUCUGUUUCUUCCUAAUGGUCAAGGUUUCAGUGAGUUAUUUGUUAAAGUUAUAUAUUGUGUUGAAUUCUUUUUUUAUUUUAUUUAUCAUUUGCAUCUCUUUUUAAAAAGAAAAGUUUUGCACGUCACUUUUUAAAAAAGAUAGCAUCCUAAGGCCGUGGAAGGUAAUUAGAAGAAGCCAAUAUAUAUAUAUAUAUAUAUUUUGGCAGUGUAUGCCUAAGUUUUUGUUGGCUUGGUUCCGUAUUUCUUUGCCAUAGUCAAACAUUCUAUAUAUUUGUUUUUGCUUUUUAUAUUUUUUGUUGGCUUGAUGAGCGCAGGGGAAAGUUUCCAAAUUCUUAUCAAACUUGCAAGAUUAUGAAUACCCACACACCAUUUUGAUAUACAAUUCUUUCUCUCUCUCUCUCUCUGAAUUCAGUUAUGCCAGAUUAUUUUUGUCCAAGAUCAGUAUUAUGCGGAAGCAGCAUGUUGAUUCGUAUCAAAAAGAGUGGUGGAUUGGGUUCCAAUAACUUUCUUUUUGGGGACCUGAAUUUGAAGCAAAGAAAUAGAAAGAGAAUGUGUAAUACAGAAUUCAAUUUAAUUUUCAGUUUCUGUUUUCCAUCCUACCUGUUUUGCUGUUUUUGAAGAGUGAUUGAAAUUGUAGAACUUUGAAAUCUGAAAGUGUAAUGUUUUUUAUACAAAGUUGAUUAUCUCUUAGAUUUUAGUUAA